rnacentral:misc_RNA from 1 species
ACAAACUUGGUCAUUUAGAGGAAGUAAAAGUCGUAACAAGGUUUCCGUAGGUGAACCUGCGGAAGGAUCAUUAACAAAUUGUCCGCAAUCAUGGAUAAUUUAUCCAUAUCCACCUUGUAUGAACUAGAGAAGUGUUUGUUGGCAGGUUUAAGGCUUUUUUUCUCCAUGGUUGAGAAUGUCUGUGGGUUCGGCACGUCAAUGCGUGCUGUCUCGGCCUGCCAAUUUUACUUUUUAAACAUGUCUAAAUAAUUGUCGGUCUGAAAUAUAAUUUAUAUAAUAAAUACAACUUUCAACAACGGAUCUCUUGGCUCUCGCAUCGAUGAAGAACGCAGC